UACAGUUGUGAAACACAUCAGAAUUUUAUUUGUGGAUACUCUUGCAAGGAAGCAAAAAAAAUCUUUUAAGAUUUCCCUGAUGGAUACUUCACAGCAUUAAAUGCACAACAAACUCCUUCACUAUCCUUUGACUGCCUUCCAGCUUAACUGUUAAAACAGUGAAGUGUUAAAAUCACUCUUUGGAGAUGAAGUAUCACGAUCAAGCUUUGAAGUGUAAUAAACAUGGAAAAGAGAAAGUGCUGCCUACCCGUGUGAAACACAUCAGUUUUAAAAGGGUUUAAACAACUGCCAUUCCACAAGAGGAACCACAUGAUUGGUAAAAAAAUAAACACACUGCAAUUGCAACUGAUUUAAAAUUAGAACAUCCUUUUUACCCAAGAAGUACCACUUUACUUUGAUGAAAAUAAGAAGAGACAAAAUAUCUGUAUUUUCCCUGUUUUAAUUAUUUUGGAGCCAAUGGUCUGAUUUAGGAACAACAGAGGCAAAGGUUGCUGCUGGAGAUGCCUUCUGCAUUUUUGUGCUGCCAGAAUAUUUUUGGAAAAGAUGGAUGUGUUUAGAAAAUGUAUAUGUAGAAUAGAAGUAAACAGUUGGAAGAGACCUUCAGUGAUCAUCAAGUCCAACUGCCUGAUCACUUCAGGGCUGACCAAAGUUAAUGCAACUUGAUGAAGACAUUGUUCAAAUGCCUACUGAAAUCUGUCAGGCACAAGGUAUCCAGCACCUCACUAAAAAGUAUUUGAUCAUCCUCACAGUAAAGACUUCUUCAUAAUGCCCAGUCUGAUCCUCCCCUGGCACAGCUUUGUGCCAUUCCCAGGAGCAGAGCUCAGCAUCAACCUGUGUGCUUCCCUUCCUCAGGGAGCUGCAGGGAGCGGUGAGAUCACCUCUUGGCCUCCUCUUCUCCAGGCUGGACAACCCAGGUGUCCUCAAUCUCUGUUCAUACUACAUGAUCUCCAGUAUUAGCUUUGUUACUCUCUUCCAAGUGCUUUCCUUAAGACCCCUGUUAUACUGUGGAAACCAGAACUACCCCCAUUACUCAAGGUACGGUCACACAAACACCAAAUAUAGUAGGAAAAUCACUUAUUUUAGAUUAACAACUAUUCAGUGAAGAAAAUACAAAUAUACAUAUACAGUGACUUGAGAGAUAUUGUAUGGCAUAUUAAAUAUGUUGUAGAAGCAUAACAUAAAUUGAGUUGUUCUGGCAGGAGUAAGGAAAACUACUUACCACCACUCAUCAUAGUAAAUUACAUGUAGGUAAACACUAACAUCUGCUUCUCAUGCAGUCUCCCAUCAUUAAUACCCAUUAUAUUAUUAUAAGUAGAUGAUUUGAUAUUCAUUACAUAGAUACCAGCAGUAAGAUACUGCCUAAUGCACAUUCUGAUGGACAGUAAAUGUGUGAAUUGUAUUAUACUAACCUCCACUGUUAGUACUAUUACAGUUUUUAAAUGUUAGUUGAUAUAAUACAAAAAACUCUAAUAGCAUGAAAGAGAGAUACAGAGGUAAUAUGUAUGCUUAGUAAAUAUAUGUCUCUAAAAGACUAGAUGAUAAAGAAAAUCUACCAGUUGUGGUUUAAUGUACAAACAACACAAAGUGUACUACUUUUUUAGACCUCUUUUGUAAAAACUCAUAUUACAUUUUCUGGAACAAAAAUAUCAACACAUCUAUAAAUGUUAAUAAAGUGAGAUGAAUUAAAAUAAAAAAUCUUGUGCAAUA